UGCCAUGGGCGGAGGCAUCUUUCACUAGACCAGAUUGCUCAAAACCCCAUCCAACCUGACCUUGAACACUUCCAACGAUGGGGCAUCCACAACUUCUCUGGGAAACCGGUUCCAGUGUCUCACUGCCCUCAUCGUGAAAGUUGUCUUCCUUGUAUCCAAUCUCAAUCUACUCUUUUUCAAUUUCAAA